rnacentral:rRNA from 1 species
ACUGUUCGCCAGAGAACUACAAGCGAAAAACUUAAAACUCUAAGGACUUGGCGGUGCUCCAUACCAACCUAGAGGAGCCUGUCCUAUAAUCGAUACCCCACGCUCAACCUUACCCCCCCCUAAAAACACAGCCAAUAUACCGCCUUCCCCAGCCUACCUAAUGAAAAAAAUUAGUUGAGCACAAUAAUUAACAACUAGCACUUCAGGUCAAGGGGUGCCAAAGGGGGCGGCAAAAAUGGGCUACUUUUCCUCCUACAGGAAAUACUUACAGGGUAAGGAAACACCCACCUUAAGGGGGAUUUACCAUUAAACCAACCUACCAUUAUGGUUUCAAACCGGCUCUGGAGCGCGCACACCCCGCCCGC